rnacentral:rRNA from 1 species
CACGAAGUUAGCCGGGGCUUCUUCUGCGGGUACCGUCAUUAUCUUCCCCGCUGAAAGAGCUUUACAACCCUAAGGCCUUCUUCACUCACGCGGCAUGGCUGGAUCAGGCUUUCGCCCAUUGUCCAAUAUUCCCCA